AUGAUAGUGACAUUGAUGAACUUUCUACGGGCGUGUUGGAGACCUUCAUCCAACCGGCAUGCCCGGACAGGCUCAGAUGCUACCGGUAGGCAGGAUGGACUUCUAUGGUACAAGGACACUGGGGAGCAUGUAAAUGGCGACUUCUCCAUGGCUGUUGUCCAGGCCAAUAACCUACUUGAGGACCAGUGUCAGAUUGAGUCGGGUCCGUUGAGCUUUCUCGACUCUGGUCCAUACGGCACUUUCGUCGGGGUUUACGAUGGGCACGGUGGACCAGAGACAGCUUGCUACAUCAACGAUAACCUCUUCAACCAUCUUAAAAGGUUCGCUUCGGAACAGAAUGCAAUGUCUGCUGAUGUACUGAAGAAAGCAUAUGAAGCUACAGAAGAUGGAUUCUUCUCUAUCGUCACCAAGCAAUGGCCUGUCAAGCCUCAAAUAGCGGCUGUUGGCUCAUGCUGUCUGGUUGGUGUUAUCUGUGGUGGCAUGCUUUAUGUUGCGAAUGUUGGGGAUUCUCGUGCUGUUUUAGGAAAACAUGUUAAAGCCACUGGAGAAGUGUUGGCUGUCCAACUGUCAGCAGAACAUAAUGUCAGCAUUGAGUCAGUGAGAAAAGAAUUGCAGUCAAUGCACCCUGAAGAUAGGCAUGUUGUUGUUCUCAAGCACAGUGUUUGGCGUGUAAAAGGCCUAAUUCAGGUCUGCAGAUCGAUCGGUGAUGCCUAUCUGAAAAAACAAGAGUUCAAUCGGGAACCUCUGUAUGCAAAAUUCCGUCUUCGUGAACCUUUUAACAGGCCCAUACUAAGUUCAGAACCAUCUAUUUGCGUUCAACCUAUACAGCCACAUGAUGAGUUUCUCAUAUUUGCAUCUGAUGGACUUUGGGAGCACUUAACCAACCAGGAGGCUGUUGACAUUGUUCAAAGUAGCCCUCGUAGUGGGAGCGCUAGGAGGCUCAUAAAAUCAGCCUUGCUAGAAGCAGCCAAGAAAAGAGAGAUGAGGUAUUCCGAUCUCAAGAAGAUCGACCGAGGUGUCCGUCGCCACUUCCAUGAUGACAUAACGGUCAUCAUACUCUACCUCGACUCGAGCCUCGUAAGCAGGGCGAGCACCCACAGGGGCCCUGCUGUUUCGCUAAGAGGCGCCGGCGUGAGCCUGCGCAGCAGCACGCUCGCACCUUAUGGGUCGCAGAUGUAA
rnacentral:rRNA from 1 species